CAAAGGUUUGGUCCUAGCCUUAUUAUCAACUGUUUCUCAACUUACACAUGCAAGUAUCAGCACACCCGUGAGAACGCCCUUUAAAUCUUACCCAGAUAAAGGAGCUGGUAUCAGGCACAAACCCACCGCCCACAACACCUAGUCUCACCACACCCUCAAGGGUAAUCAGCAGUGAUUAAUUUUGCGUAUGAGCGUCAGCUUGACUCAGUUAGAGAAAAGAGGGCCGGCUAACCCGGUGCCAGCCGCCGCGGCUACACCGUGGGGCUCGAGUUGAUAGUCAUCGGCGUUAAGCGUGAUUAAAGUUAUUACAAAUUAAGGUUAAAUUAAUACUUAGUAGUUUUAUGCUUGUUAUUAAGAAAUCCACAAACGAAAGUUACCCUAAUUAUUAUGCUUGAAUACACGACAGCUAGG
rnacentral:rRNA from 1 species